UAAACCGAUGAUGAGAUUCCAGAUGUGACCGCCGCCGUCCGUAUCGAUUGGAACGCACGUAGCAAUAUACUCGAUACUCAACACGAUGCGUCUAUAUCCUCCUUCCCCUCCUUCCCUCCCGGUAUCUCUCACCGCGACCGAGUCGGGCACUUCCGGAUUUAUGAAACGUGCGCACUCGAUCUGAUUCGUUCUUUACGUUUGCACUAUGUUACACUUUUCGCACUUGAAAUGAGCGUAGAAUCAGAUGUUGGAAAGAGAAAGAUGAAGGAGAACAAAAAAGUUCGGCUAUGAUCAGACAGAGUAAUAUAAAUUUGUUACUCAGAUACAUCAGAUACUUUUUUAUACGACUGUAGAAAUUAUUUGUAUAAAAAUGGAUUGUUUUAUUUUGUCCGCAUUGCUUGGGAUCUACUGAGAUUAAGAGAGAAAGAGGCAGGACGGAGAGGUUAAGUGCGAACAUGCAAAUAGAACAAGCCGGUGUCAAUCGCUAGCCAUUAACUUCACGCCGGUUGUAAACAUUUGAGUAAUUUAUUGGUCUAUAAAGAUAUGUAGUUAAGGUUGCUUAUAUAACAAACAACCUUGUAGCACCAUCAAGAACAUCUUGCACUUUUUCAGAAUAUUACCUAAACUACUCCAGCUUGGCACUUUUUGAAUGUAUGUGAAACAGAAGUCUUUAUUCAACAAUUAACAUAUCGUUGUACAAAAGUAUCUGAAAUCAAAAUCAUCUUAUCCCCUCCAUUAAAUUAGAAGAUGGGAAAACAAAAUAAAUUGUAUAAGAAUGAUGUAUAAUUG